rnacentral:rRNA from 1 species
UACGGGGGGGGCAAGCGUUGUUCGGAAUUACUGGGCGUAAAGGGCUCGUAGGCGGCCAACUAAGUCAUACGUGAAAUCCCCCGGCUUAACCGGGGAACUGCGUCUGAUACUGGAUGGCUUGAGUUCGGGAGAGGGAUGCGGAAUUCCAGGUGUAGCGGUGAAAUGCGUAGAUAUCUGGAGGAACACCGGUGGCGAAGGCGGCAUCCUGGACCGAUACUGACGCUCAGGUGCGAAAGCCAGGGGAGCGAACGGG